GAGAAGGGACUGGCCUGGAGUCACCCACUGGGUUUCAUGGCCGGAUGGGAAUUUGAACCCGGUUCUUCCCAGUCCUGGCCCCGGCGCUCUAACCCCUGCGCUGCCUAACUGGCUCCGGGCUGUCAGGAACCGAACCCGGGACCGAAAAGUGUGUGCUCGUCUCGCCGAGCCGAUGAGCUCCUCUUCCAGGCUCUGGGGAGCCUCAACAGCCUCUUCUUGGAGGAGGAUGACCUCACAAGAGGGUGUGCCCCUUCCUCUUUGGAAGGCUGAUCUUCUCCAGAUUCCAGAACAGCUCCUCAGCUGGAAACAGCGGCGAAGAGAGCGGUCUUUGGCUGGACGUUUCCCCGGUGUGGGCGGCUGCAGCGGGACCAGGCAGCACCAUGGAUUACCUCACGGUCCCGGCCAUCCCUUCCCUGCCCCAGGUUGAAAAGACGUUGACCCCAGAAGAGCAGGCCUCGUUCCUGAGCACUGCCGGGCCCGGGGCCUUGGUCAGUUACAGCCAGGUCUCUGGGAUCUCGUCAGCCAUCCCGCCCUCUCAGGAAGGGUCCACCGUCCUGUCUGUCACCUCCGCCAUGCCCAUGGCAGGCCGGUCGGGGAGGUUGCACGGCCGGGGGUUGAAGCUGAAACACGGCAGCAGGCUCAAAUCGCAGGCUGAGGGGCAGAAAGUGAAAGUUCAACGACCACGCCGGCGUUACCGCAAGCGGAAACGUCGUAAGAAUCUGAAGGAGUUCGUGAUCUGGAGUUGGGGAAAGAUCCUCCCACACAUCGUCUUUGUGCGGAAGAUCCUCUACACCUUGACUCACGCCUUCCUGUUCGACAUCUUCAUCGUUUCUGUGGUCGCCGUCAACACCCUCAUGCUGGUGGCUCAGACCUUUGCCGUGGUGGAAAUUCGGGGAGAAUGGUUCUUCUCUGCCCUGGACUCUAUGAUCGUGAGUGUCUAUGUAGCUGAAGCCAUCCUCAAGAUAAUUGCCCUAGGCUUUAAAUACUUCCAGAGUUCUUGGAACUUUCUGGAUUUCAUCAUCAUGGUCAUGGCGGUGCUGGAUUUUAUGAUACCCCUGUUCAUCGUUCGGCAAGGCACCCAAGUCGGCUUCCUCCGGAUCCUCAAAAUCUUCAAAGGGAUCCGUGCCCUCCGCGCUUUCCGCUUUAUCCUCAAUCUCCGAUGGAUGAAGAAUGUAAAAGAAGUGAUCAGCACCUUUGUGCUCUCCUGCAAGUCCAUCGGGGCCAUCAUUCUCCUCAUGUUUACUUUCCUCUUCAUGUGUUCCGUGGUCAUGCAUGAUAUGUUCCGCAGAGCUGAUCCCAAAAAAUUCGGAGAUCUCUUCAAGACCAUCUUUACUCUUUUCCAGCUGUUCACCUUGGAUGACUGGUCACUCAUCUAUCUGACCUGCCAUGCUGCAGGUUACUGGUACAUCAUCAUAUUCCUCAUUUUCUACAUCCUCGUGCAGUACUUCUUGCUUCUCAACCUCAUGAUUGCGGUCUUGGUGGACAAUUUCCAGAUGGCCCUCAUUACUCAUGAGCUGAACAAACAGAAGGUCAGGCCCAUGCCCCGUGGCCAGGGGUGGGGAGGAAGAGCAGCAGGAAAGAGCUGCUGGUUAAGGUUGCCAGAAAUAGAUCUGGAGGGGCUUUCUGUCUCUCUUCAGAGUUGACAACAAGGGAGAAUUUGGCCAGCUCUGGCUUCUUUGUUUGGUAAGAAAAGCCAGAUCUGGUGAAACAGUCCCAUUCUUCAACCCAAGGGAGAUGCAAGCCUCAAACUGCUGGACUAGAAUUGGUCGGCGGAUUUGGUACUCUUUGCUUAGGGCUCAAUCUGGAUCAAGGUUUUGUUGCCCACUGUAAUUAUUAGACUGAAGAAGACUAAGCUAAUGACAACGGGUACAGCAACCAGCCUCAGAACGGAUAAUGAAGACACUGAAGUGGUGGAUAACUUCUGCCUUUCAGGAUCGACCAUCAACAGUCAAGGAUCCAGCAGUCACGAAAUACGCUGCAGGCUACCACUUGGUAGGGUUGCAGUGAAGGCCUUGGAAAGGAUAUUGAGAUGCCGUGACGUGUCUAUAGAUGCUGUGAUGUGUCUACACCUACAAAGAUUAGAAUCGUUUGGACCAUGGUUUUCCCUGUGACACUCUAUGGAUGCGAAAGCUGGAUUUUGAAGAAGCAGGAUAGAAAAAGUAUUGAUGCUUUUGAACUUGGGUUCUGGAGAAGACUUUUGAGGAGACCAUGGACAGCCAGGAAAACAAACCAAUGGAUCAUAGAACAAAUCAAUCCUGAAUUUUCACUCCAGGCACAAAUGAUCAGGCUCAUACUGUGGACACAUUAUGCGAAGACCCAGCUCCCUUGAGAAGUCUAUAAUGCUGGGGAAAGUGGAAGGAAAGAGAAGAAGAGGACGACCAGCAGCAAGGAACAGAAAGUAGUCCAGCUGCAGGAGAUCAGUGAAGAAGAGGUAGCCGUCGCCAAAACAUCAGCGGAAAAGGCCAAAGAGAAGGAACAGGAGAAGGACGAAGAGUUUGUCACGCGGAU